GACCGGUCUAGCUUCCUUAAUAAAGGAGUCUGCGGCACGCUCUGCUACUCACUGACUCCCAGUACCUGCCUGAGUCCUUGGUACUGUGUCUUCUCACCCCCACCCCCAAGGGGUGUCUCAGUAGGGUAACCCGCAACAUCUGGUGUCUAAAUUUGGGGCUCUUGAAUCAGAUUUUUUUUUUUCCCAUUGCGGUGGCUGUUUUUUGUUUGGGCUCUGAUGUUUGCCUUUUUUGCUGGUGGUGCAUUGUCGGAUCAUACAUUGGUGCACUUUCACUUUUUCUAUCCGCACCUUUUGGGACUCCUCUUCACUCUCAAGGUGUGUUUUGGCACCCCUUCUUCAGUGACUUGUUCGACCCCUUGAAGAUCUGCUUAAAGGACUCAUAGCCGCUCUGCACAUCCCAGAACUGGAAGAUAACCCUUCUGCCUCCUCUGAGCCAAAGCUUCCCUAGUUCACAGAGGUGUUGUUCUCAUGAGCAUGCAGUUUGAGUCCUCAAGUUCCUCAUUGGUAAGAAGAUCCUCCAUCUGCCCUAAAGUCAGGACACAGCAGUCUGAUUUUAAAAGAUCUGUAUGGAUUAAAACAGUCUUCUCAUGGGACACAGGGCUAUGUGGACACACCACCAGCCUGAAACUUCUGGGUCACCCCUGUGCUGAUGGAGGGUGUCUGCAGCAAGAGAUUAGAUCAAACAACUCAGCCUGUCUGGGCAGAAGCUGUGCAUGUCUUCAGUGAGGACAUGUGGGGGAGACUACAGCUAGAGGAAGUUCGUGGGUAUAAAGGUAAAUCUGAAGAAACCAAGUCAGUACCAGCUUGAUUUCAUCGCAUGGCUGUGGAGGGCCAGUGGGCCCAGGUCCUGAGGUCAAAUUCUGCCUCUGAGAGCAGAAGGAGUUCCUGUGUUGUUCCUUCUGGUUCUCCUUAGGCUUUGCAAACCAGCCUGGCCACUUGUGUCAGUUUAGCACUGCAAUACACCCAGCUCUAUGUCCUCUGGCUCUUGUCUCUGAGUCCCCAGAAGGCCCACUGAUUAGUAGAGUCUGAG
rnacentral:lncRNA from 1 species